UGUAACCUUCGGCUCUAUAGUAGAGGAACGUGUUAGUUCCUGGUCGUGCAUUUUUCAGUAGUCAUUUUUCAUUCCCUGUGUUUUGGGGCCGUUAUUAUUGUGAGCACCCUGUGGUGCGUUGGUGCAAUUAAAGUGCACAGCAUUGUACUCUCUGUCUCCUGCGUUUGACUCCACACCCACGACACCCGGAGUAUUACAGCAGUAUUACUUUAUUGCCUUGUUGCAAACAUAAUACAUGUUUUGGAAUAUUUGUAUUCUGUACAGUCUUCCUUCUUCUAACUCUGUCAAUUAGGUGCCCUUCUUUGCAAGACAUUGGAAAACCUCCCUGGUCUUUGCGGAUGAAUCUGUGUGAAAUUCACUGCGCGACUGAAGAGCCUUACAAUUAUCUGCAGGACGCAGUUUUACAGCAGAUACGUCCCACAGCCCAGUGUUAACCACCAGAUGAGGCUGAUAAAAACCAAAGUACAGCUCUGACACGGGACACCCACCCUAAUCAUCAGGGGUGUGGUGGAACAGCCUCAAUUUGUCGGGGCAUGGACUCCACAAGGUGUUGAAAGUGUUCUACAGGGAUUCUGGCCCACGUUGAUUCCAAUGCUUCCUACAGUUGUGUCAAGUUGGCUGGAUAUCCUUUGGGUAGGGGACCGUUCAGCAUGAAAAACCCAGCAGCGUUGCAGUUCUUGACGCACUCAAACCAUUUCGCCUGGCACCUACUACCAUACCCCAUUCAAAGGCACUUCAAUAUUUUUUUGUCCCCAUUCACUCUUUGAAUGGCACACCUAAUUCAUGUCUCAAUUGUCUUGACGAUUGUCUCGAUUUAACUGAGGAAACACUGACAGACCAUCCAUACUACAGCCUACAGAUAAAGGAAGUGUCCAUGCACAACAUUACUGUCUGAUAGGGCUCCUGGAAUGUUUGGGUGGCUGGUCAACACCAUAACUGAUGUGUGAAGUCUAAAUUAAUCCUGGUCCAAAAUAGUUCUGGUUUAUGCCCAAGACGUUGGUCC
ensembl:lncRNA